AGCAGCCGCGGUAAUUCCAGCUCCAAUAGCGUAUAUUAAAGUUGUUGCAGUUAAAAAGCUCGUAGUUGAAUUUCGGGAUCAAAUUGUCGGUCGUGCCUCGGUACGCACUGGUAUUAUUGGUUCCUACCUUCUGAAGAGCCGCGAUGUCAUUAAUUUGGUGUCGUGGGGAAUCAGGACUGUUACUUUGAAAAAAUUAGGUGUUUAAAGCAGGCUUACGCUUGAAUACAUUAGCAUGGAAUAAUGAAAUAGGACGUUUGAUUCUAUCUUGUUGGUUUUCUAGGAUUGACGUAAUGAUUAAUAGGGAUAGUUGGGGGCAUUAGUAUUCAAUUGUCAGAGGUGAAAUUCUUGGAUUUAUUGAAGACUAACUACUGCGAAAGCAUUUGCCAAGGAUGUUUUCAUUAAUCAAGAACGAAAGUUAGGGGAUCGAAGACGAUCAGAUACCGUCGUAGUCUUAACCAUAAACUAUGCCGACUAGGGAUCGGAUGAUGUUAAUUUUUUAAUGACUCGUUCGGCGCCUUAC
rnacentral:rRNA from 1 species